UCUCCCUCUUUCGCGUCAAUCCCCUCGGAGUCGCGAUCCGCAAAUAUUCAGGGAAAAAACGUUUGAUUCUUGAUCUGUCUGCGCCUCAUUCUGGUUCCCACCCUAGCAUUAAUAGCCUUAUCCCGAAGCCACCCUUUUCACUCUUUUAUGCCACAGUAGAUCAUGCCAUAGCGUUAAUAAAGAAAGCUGGUCCAGGAGCGUGGCUGGCCAAAGCCGACAUUACUGACGCUUUUAAGAUCUUGCCCGUGCAUCCCUCGCAGUGGCACCUGCUGGGUGCUAAAUGGGACGAAAAGUUUUAUUUCUUUGUCCGUCUGACUUUUUGAUGCAGGAGCAGCCCCAGUCUCUUUAAUUCAUUUUCUGAAGCUCUCUGCUGGAUUUUGCUAAAUGUUGUCAAACUUCCCUCCGUGCUCCACCUCCUUGAUGACUUUCUGCUUAUAGAUCCGCCCCACCCUUUUCCCCGUUCGCUCAGCAAAUUGAAAGACCUUUUUCUCCGCGUCGGCGUUCCCCUCUCCGAGGAGAAAACUGUUGGUCCGCGAAAAAAAUUGGAAUUUCUCGGCAUCUCUCUGGACUCGGUAAAAAUGGUUGCUUCGCUGCCAGCCGAUAAAUUAGCUCGCAUUCGUGAAAUCUCCCAAGCUUAUCUUUCAUCCUCGACUCUUUCCAAGCGCCAGCUUCUCUCGCUGCUCGGGCAUCUUAACUUCGCCAUGCGCAUAAUCCCUCAAGGUCGCUCUUUUAUCUCCAGGUUGCUCGACCUCGCUAAUUCAGUUCCCUCUCUAUUCGAUCGAAUCGUUUUGGAUGACGGCUGCCGCUCUGAUCUCGUUUUUUGGUCCUCUCUGCUUAACUCCUGGAACGGCAUUUCUUUUUUCUAUGAUGACGUCAUCCUCUCCGCUGAUUCUGCCCAGUUUUACACCGAUGCUGCUCCUUCCGCAGGAUACGGGGGCUUUUUUCAGGGCAGCUGGUUCGCUGAGAAAUGGCCUCUUUCGGUUCCUCGGUCAGAAUCUUCGGCUUUUUAUGAAAUAGUCCCCAUUGCUACAGCAUGCUGCCUCUGGGGAAGCCAGUGGAAACGCAAGCACAUUGUAGCAUUUUGCGAUAAUGCCGCAGUUGUAGAAGCUAUUAGUAAAGGCCGCUCUUCUUCCAAGUCUAUUAUGCCUUUUCUUCGUCGUAUUACAUGGCAAUCCGUGAUCAACAAUUUCAUCCUCUCUGCGCGUCACAUUCCAGGUCAUUCUAACGCCAUUGCCGAUGCUCUGUCUCGUCUUCAAUUUCAGACCUUUCGUCGCCUCUGCCCUUCAGCCGACCUCCUCCCGACGCCUGUUCCCUCCUUCGACAACCUCAUCCUGAAUUAAUCUCCCCUUCUCUUUUACCCUUGCUCCAGUUGGCUAACUUUUACAUUAAAAAUGGCCUCGCUCAUUCUACGUUCAAAUCUUACACCUUCGCCUGGCACAAGUUUGCAAACUUCUGCUCUGUUCACAAGACCCCACUUUAUCCCGUUCAAGUUAGCUCAGUCAUCGCUUUCAUUACCCAUUGCUUCGUUCAUCUUAAUCUGAAGCCCUCUUAUAUCCGCAGUCUCGUCGCAGGUCUAAAUUUUUUCUCCCAACUUUCCCAGUCUUCCUCUUCUGUUAGGCUUUUUCGUGACAAUGUUAUAAAGCUUCUGUUAAAGAGUAUUUCUAACGUUCGUCCUUCCCUCCCAGAUAGUAGAAAACCUAUCACCCUUCCCAUUCUCAUUAAGUUACUCAAUACCCUUCGACUCAGUUCCUACUCUCCUUAUCUCCAGAGCCUCCUCUCGAGUUCGUUUCUUUUAGCUUUUUAUGGGCUCCUUCGUCUAAGCGAGUUCACGUCCCCAAAUACCACAUUCAUCCCUUCUAGAGACUUAGCGGUUUCUGACCUCAGUUUCCACGUUAAUUAUUACAGCUUAUCCCUCAAGCAUACUAAAUCUAAAGGCGCAUGCACCAUCGUCAUAGCUCGUACCGAUGGUCCGUUCUGCCCUUUUUUAGCCAUGUUCAAAUUCGCGCUCUUAAGACACAAAUUGAGUUUUUCCUCCGAACCCCUGUUCCUAACCCCCGAAGAUUUCCCCAUGUCCUCGGCCUGGUUCCUAAAGCACCUGAAGCUACUUCUAGCCGCAUCCAACCUCCCUCCUAGCCAAUUCUCAGGCCACUCCUUUAGAAUAGGAGCGGCUACAUCCGCAGCCGCGCAGGGUAUUCCCACGUCAACCCUCCAGCAACUCGGCCGAUGGUCGUCUUCAGCUUUCGCAUCCUACAUUCGUCCAGACCUCUUAGCCGUUCUCGCAGCUCAACGGUCUCUCAGUGCCUAGGUUCCAUUUCAAGCAAUCCCACCUCUUGUCCCUGCCAGCUACUAACUUUAUCCGCCUAACGCCGCAUCAUGACAGUAACCCCUCAGCUGGCCUACAUCUACCAGCCCAACUUCGCGUCACGCCAAUAACACCCCGGCUGGCCUUCAUCUACCAGCCCGACUCCACACCAGGUAAGUAACCCCUCAGUCGGCCUUCUUCUAUUAGAUGGCGCGGCGUCAUCCCACAAGGUUUUCACUGCUAUCCGUCACCUCGAUUUCUCCCAUUUGCAUUUCACCUCUCGUAGCAAAGUCUUGGCCUCGGCCCCGGCAUCUGCCCAGAAGUUUUGGGGGGGAGUAUCCCUAUUCAGCGUUGAUGGGCUCAUCUGAAUUCGCCGGAAUUCACUGCUCAAAUCUCCAGCCGGGGCCCGAGCGCCAAAGAAUUGUUAUUCAUUUUUUGUCAAUAAAUUUCCUAAUCGUUUAUUCUUUUCUGUCUGAGUCUCUCCAGAUUGAAAUGAAGCCUAGGCGCAAGUUCAAGCUGGAAGACUUCCGCUCCACCCAUUCCAUCUAAUUACUGCGUCAUCUUCAUCACUGGACCUCGACCCGCCUUCUCCAAUCUUCAAUCAAGCUCUGUUAAAAGGCUCCACACCCACGCCGCCAGUUGCUUUCCAGCUUUGCUCAACCCACCUCCUCCCCUUCUCCACCAGCAUUUCAAGUCGUCAUCUUUCCCAACCUCCACCACCAGUGUCGGGCCCCGGGGGAGUAUCCCUAUUCAGCGUUGAUGGGCUCAUCUGAAUUCGCCGGAAUUCACUGCUCAAAUCUCCAGCCGGGGCCCGAGCGCCAAAGAAUUGUUAUUCAUUUUUUGUCAAUAAAUUUCCUAAUCGUU